ensembl:rRNA 5S_rRNA 5S ribosomal RNA
GUCUACGGCCAUACCACCCUGAACGUGCCCGAUCUCGUCUGAUCUCGGAAGGUAAGCAGGGUCGGGCCUGGUUAGUACUUGGAUAGGAGAAAUGACAGCAUUUUGCC